rnacentral:tRNA from 1 species
GCCCCAUGAUAGCUCUGUUGGUAGGGAAUGAGACUCUUAAUCUCAGGGUCAUGGGUUUAAGCCCCACAUUGGACA